UGCCAGCCGCCGCGGUAAUACGAGGGGUGCAAGCGUUAAUCGGAAUUACUGGGCGUAAAGCGUGCGUAGGCGGUUUGUUAAGCAAGAUGUGAAAGCCCCGGGCUCAACCUGGGAACUGCAUUUUGAACUGGCAGGCUAGAGUACUGUAGAGGGUGGUGGAAUUUCCAGUGUAGCGGUGAAAUGCGUAGAGAUUGGAAGGAACACCGGUGGCGAAGGCGGCCAUCUGGGGCAAGACUGACGCUGAGGUGCGAAAGCGCGGGGAGCAAACAGGAUUAGAUA
rnacentral:rRNA from 1 species